GAUGAACGCUGGCGGCGUGCUUAACACAUGCAAGUCGAACGAAGCAUUUGCGACAGAUUUUUUCGGAAUGAAGUUGCUUAUGACUGAGUGGCGGACGGGUGAGUAACGCGUGGGUAACCUGCCUUGUACUGGGGGAUAGCAGCUGGAAACGGCUGGUAAUACCGCAUAAGCGCACAAUGUUGCAUGACAUGGUGUGAAAAACUCCGGGGGUAUAAGAUGGACCCGGGGCUGAUUAGCUAGUUGGUGGGGUAACAGCCCACCAAGGCGACGAGCAGUAGCCGACGUGAGAGCGUGACCGGCCACAUUGGGACUGAGACACGGCCCAGACUCCUACGGGAGGCAGCAGAGGGGAAUAUUGCACAAUGGAGGAAACUCUGAUGCAGCGACGCCGCGUGAGUGAAGAAGUAAUUCGUUAUGUAAAGCUAUAUCAGCAGGGAAGAUAGUGACGGUACCUGACUAAGAAGCUCCGGCUAAAUACGUG
rnacentral:rRNA from 1 species